CGGCCGCGGUAUCCUAACCGUGCAAAGGUAGCGCAAUCACUUGCCCCUUAAUUAUGGGCCAGUAUGAACGGUUUCAUGAGGGUUUAACUGUCUCCUAUGGCCAAUCAAUGAACUUGAUCACUCAGUACAAAUGCUGAAAUAAAACCACAAGACGAGAAGACCCUGUGGAACUUUAAGUUAAUUCGCUAGCAAAUAUAGGCGAAACCCACCACUUAACCUAACGAAAGCUUUCAGUUGGGGCAACUACGGAGUAAAACGAAACCUCCACGCACCGCAAUUAACACUUGCACCUUAGGCUCACACGCCUAUCACCACAUCAGACCCAGCAGGACUGAUCAACGAACCAAGCUACCCCAGGGAUAACAGCGCUAUCCCCCUCAAGAGUCCAUAUCGACAGGGGGGUUUACGACCUCGAUGUUGGAUCAGGACCCCCAGGCGGUGUAGCCGCUGCCAAAGGCUCGUUUGUUCAACGAAUAACGUCCU
rnacentral:rRNA from 1 species